ensembl:antisense BC048559 cDNA sequence BC048559
AAACACCCAGGCUCUGCUCUGACUGUAACUGGCUACCACCUACUGAGCAUGUCUCCAUCCUCUUGGCUAUGGCUGGGCAGACAUUGUCUCUCCUGUGUGUGCGGGCUAAUUCCCCCAACGCAAGAUACUAAGUCAUGGCUGGCUCAUCACACUGGCUCGCUAUGAAGUGGAGUCUACUAGAGUCCCCAGAGUAUGUUUGAACUUCUGACUCAGCCAAGAAUAAGGCUUCUCUUUGCCAUGCAAGCAGCUUCCUCUUAAAGCCCACGAUCUGAGCCUCGAAGGACCAGAAGACACCUUCAGCAGCAGACAGGGCUCACCUGCCCUGUGCAGAUGCACUUUCUUAUUAUCUGGACAGUCAUAUUGUUCUCUUACUUUGGUGCCAAUUCAGUCAUGCUAUUAAAAAAAUAUUCUACAAGU